AACGGAUUUAAAAUAAUUUCUGCUAUUUUUGAAAACAUUAUUUGAGAAACAUUUGUAAAGGAAGUACCUUUAAUUUAAUCUAGAUAUGAAGAAGCUCACAAAAGAAUGGAAAAUAAAGAAACACAAUCCUCAAAGUACAAAAACCAAGCAUUUUAUAAGUGGAAGCCCCAUAUGUGAAACUAAUGGUCUUUCAUUAAUUUCACCAGUUGUUUGUAAAAACACAGUGUCGUUAAGAAAAGGACAGGAGUCCAAUGUUCCACGUGGAAAUGAUAAUCAUCUUCGACAUUCACAGAGAUUACAACUGAAAGAUUCUAAUAAAUCAUUUGAGGACAAAAAGUCUGAUCAGG